rnacentral:rRNA from 1 species
CCUACGGGAGGCAGCAGUGAGGAAUAUUGGUCAAUGGGCGGAAGCCUGAACCAGCCAAGUCGCGUGAGGGAUUAAGGCCCUGCGGGUCGUAAACCUCUUUUGCCGGGGAGUAGUGGUCUGGACGCGUCCGGACCGGGAGAGUACCUGGAGAAAAAGCAUCGGCUAAUUCCGUGCCAGCGGCCGCGUUAAUACGAGGGAUGCGAGCUUUACCGGGAUUGAUGGGGUUUAAAGGGUGCGUAGGCGGGCAUUUAAUCCGGCGGGCAAAUGUCGGGGCUCAACCCCGGCCUGCCGUCGAAACUGGGUGCCUUGAGUGGACGAGAGGUGUGCGGAAUGCGUGGUGUAGCGGUGAAAUGCAUAGAUAUCACGCAGAACCCCGAUUGCGAAGGCAGCAUACCGGCGCCCUACUGACGCUGAGGCACGAAAGUGCGGGUAUCGAACAGGAUUAGAUACCCGGGUAGUC